rnacentral:rRNA from 1 species
GAUGAACGCUAGCGGCAGACUUAAUACAUGUGAGUCGAGGGGCAGCGGAUCCCUCCGGGGAUGCCGGCGACCGGCGAACGGGUGAGUAACACGUAUGGAAUCUACCCUUAACUGGGGAAUAGCCUUGAGAAAUCGAGGGUAAUGCCCCAUACCAUCUUGAAAAGGCAUCUUUUCUAGAUGAAAGCUCCGGCGGUUAAGGAUGGCCAUGCGCUCCAUUAGCUUGUUGGUGAGAUAACCGCUCACCAAGGCCGCGAUGGAUAGCUGAUCUGAGAGGAUGAUCAGCCACAUUGGCACUGAGACACGGGCCAAACUCCUACGGGAGGCAGCAGUAGGGAAUCUUGGUCAAUUGGCGAAAGCCAGAACCAGUCAUGCCGCGUGCAGGAUGAAGGCCCUACGGGUCGUAAACUGCUUUUAUUCGGGAAGAAAAAGUCUGUUUCCACAGACCUUGACGGUACCGAUUGAAUAAGGACCGGCCAACUCCGUGCCAGCAGCCGCGGUAAUACGGAGGGUCCAAGCGUUAUCCGGAUUCACUGGGUUUAAAGGGUGCGCAGGCGGCCAAGUAAGUCAGUGGUGAAAGCCUUCGGCUCAACCGGAGAAUUGCCAUUGAAACUACUUGGCUUGAGUGCAGUAGAGGUAGGCGGAAUGUAGCAUGUAGCGGUGAAAUGCAUAGAUAUGCUACAGAACACCGAUAGCGAAAGCAGCUUACCACACUGUAACUGACGCUCAGGCACGAAAGCGUGGGGAGCAAACAGGAUUAGAUACCCUGGUAGUCCACGCCGUAAACGAUGAACGUUCGCCGUUAUCCCGCUUAAGGGAUAGUGGCUAAGCUAACGCGUUAAGCGUUCCACCUGGGGAGUACGAUCGCAAGGUUGAAACUCAAAGGAAUUGACGGGGGCCCGCACAAGCGGUGGAGCAUGUGGCUCAAUUCGAUGCAACGCGAAGAACCUUACCUAGGCUCGAACGCUAGAGGACCGCUCCUGAAAGGGAGCUUCCCCUUUGGGGCCUGUAGCGAGGUACUGCAUGGCUGUCGUCAGCUCGUGUCGUGAGAUGUUGGGUUAAGUCCCGCAACGAGCGUAACCCUUGUCGUUAGUUACCAGCGGGUAGUGCCGGGGACUCUAGCGAGACCGCCUGCGCAAGCAGUGAGGAAGGUGGGGAUGACGUCAAGUCAUCAUGGUCCUUACGCCUAGGGCUGCACACGUGCUACAAUGGUCGGGACAACGAGCAGCCACCUCGCGAGAGGGAGCGAAUCUCUCAAACCCGAUCGUAGUUCGGAUUGGAGUCUGCAACUCGACUCCAUGAAGCAGGAAUCGCUAGUAAUCGCGGAUCAGCAAUGCCGCGGUGAAUUCGUUCCCGGGCCUUGUACACACCGCCCGUCAAGCCAUGGAAGCUAAGAGCACCCGAAGUCCGUGACUCGGCUCUAGCGUUAGCUAGAGGGAGAGCGGCCGAAGGUGAGCUUAGUGACUGGGGCU